GUGAAAUCUUGAGUUUUUGGGUCGCAAGCUUGUUGACUUUUCGGCUGAAUCGGCCAGAGCUUCGGUCAUGGCCGACCAAGACUGAGCGCCUCGCCACGUGCUCGCCGUUGCCCGGCCAGGCGCCGCGCCUUCGCCCAACCGACGAGCCGCUAGUCCGGGAUCUCGCUCGCGCCCGCGCCUCGCCUUCAAAGCCCGGCACCCUCCCUACUCUCUUCUCCCUCGCUCAGUUUCUUCUUCCUCCAGCUCAAGAAACCGAACCGAGUUCCCACACCCGCCGGCCAAAAUCCACAAGCUUCACCCCACCGUUCUCAAAUCACCGCCGCCCACCGCUCCUACACCUUCCCAUAUCCAUCCUCCACCACCUCAUUCCCGCCGCCAUGGCCCAAAACGCCGGACAUUAGAGCUCCAGUAACCGCCAUUGCCGCCACCCGCCUAAGCUCCACCCCACCUUCCCGCUCUUCCCUCGCCCAAGUAACCACUCAAACGGAACUCUGGUAAGCCCGUGGACCUCAUGCUCUCUCUAGCUCGCCGUCUCGACCAUGUUUCCACGCUCGUUCUUGAGCUCGCCGCCGGGCACGCGCCGCCGCUAGCCGCGGGGUAGGCUAGGGUUAGUGUUCCGGGGAAAUAAGUAGGGGAGGAGGUGAGCUAGACGAAGGGGAACGCUCCAGUCAAAAAGGUUGGGGAAGGCGCCACCGCCGCCGCCCGUGCAUGCACACGGUGAACUGGGGGUAGAAGAAGGCCAGGGUGCUGUGUGUGAGAGAAAUAGAAGUCCAAGGGGGUUUUCCGUAACAUAUUGGGUUUAAGUGCAUAGGUAGAAUUUUUCCAGGGGCUUACGCGCUAGAUAUGAGGGCUCAAGUGAAAAAUAAAGGGUAUAUCUGCUUGUUAAGUUUGUUCCCGAGGUCCUAUCUGAAAAUCUAACUUUUUCUUUUUUCGUCUCUAGUUUUGUUUGAAAUGGCUGAAUCUUGUGAAAUCCAUAACAAAUCGUAGGAAAAUUGUACAAAGUCAAAAUAAAUUGUUUUGGGUUCCUGAUGCUCCGUUCUACCUACUAAAAAUACUUAUUCUGGUGAAAAUUAUGUUUAUAGUAUGUUUAUGUUGCUGAUUAAAAUGCAUAUUUUUUAAUCUCUUUUAAUUUUAUUAACUAUUUACAGUGCCCAUAAAAUGCAAGUAAAUUCACAGUAAUGCUAAUUUGAGUUGAAAAGUAUUCUGGAAAGUUUUCAGCACCAAUUUGCUUGUAUAACUCCAUGUAAAAUUCAUUCUUCAUAACUAGAAAGUUUUCAGCACCAAUUUGCUUGUAUAACUCCAGUUAAAAUUCAUUCUUCAUAACUGCAGUAACACACUGUUUGAUUUUUUUAGUAAAUUCUGUGAUAGUCAGAUAAUGCUGAAACUUUUACUGAAGUAUAUUUGUUUGUUAUCGGGAUGUGCAUGAAGCGGAAGUUCAUUAUGAUGCCUGGUU
rnacentral:lncRNA from 1 species